AUUAAGAAAAGGAUUCACAUCAUCAAUAGUGGUGUUCCGAUGAUCGAAAGUAAUCGAAACUCGAUCGAAAGAAGGAUUAAAAAUGAUUAUCGAUUGUAAAAAACACAUUUUUGAUUAAUCAGAACUUGUUGUUUUAUUUUAACACACUUGAAUGAAUGAGUGAGUGAGUAAAGAUUUAAA